AUUGAACGCUAGCGGCAGGCCUAACACAUGCAAGUCGAACGAGUGGCGGACGGGUGAGUAAUGUAUGGGAAACUGCCCGAUGGCGGGGGAUAACUACUGGAAACGGUAGCUAAUACCGCAUACCAUCAGAUGUGCCCAGAUGGGAUUAGCUUGUUGGUGGGGUAACGGCUCACCAAGGCGACGAUCCGUAGCUGGUCUGAGAGGAUGACAAGCGACACUGGAGCGGAGACACGGGCCAGAGUCCUACGGGAGGCAGCAGUGGGGAAUAUGGGACAAUGGGGGCAAGGCUGAUGCAGCCAUGCCGCGUGUAUGAAGAAGGCCUUCGGGUUGUAAAGUACUUUCAGCGGGGAAGCGUUACCUGCAGAAUAAGCACCGGCUAACUCCGUGCCAGCAGCCGCGGUAAUUC
rnacentral:rRNA from 1 species